ACAACCUACCUGGGAGCAGGGGAUAACAUGGGGAAACCCGUGCUAAUACCGCAUACGUCUCCGGAAUCUAGGUUCUGGAGGGAAAGCUGGCCUAUACAUGUAAGCUGGCACUCCCAGAGGGGUCCGCGUUCGAUUAGCUAGAUGGCGAGGUAACGGCUCACCAUGGCGACGAUCGAUAGCCGGCCUGAGAGGGCGAUCGGCCACACUGGGACUGAGACACGGCCCAG
rnacentral:rRNA from 1 species